rnacentral:rRNA from 1 species
GAUGCCUGCCCGGUGACUCAACGUUCAACGGCCGCGGUAUCCUAACCGUGCAAAGGUAGCGCAAUCAAUUGUCCCGUAAAUCGGGACUAGUAUGAAUGGCUAAACGAGGUCUUAACUGUCUCUUACAGGCAAUCGGUGAAAUUGAUCUCCCUGUGAGAAAGCAGGGAUAAACCCAUAAGACGAGAAGACCCUGUGGAACUUCAAAAACAGCAGCCACCCUGAAAUACAUACACACCCACUUCGGGCUUACUAUUCGCAGGCGACUGGCUUGCAUUUUUUCGGUUGGGGCGACCUUGGAGCAAAACAAAACCUCCAAACAUUAGACCAUUCCUCUAGACUGAGAGCAACUCCUCAACGUGCUAAUAGCACCCAGACCCAAUACUAUUGAUCAAUGGACCAAGCUACCCCAGGGAUAACAGCGCAAUCUCCUUCAAGAGUCCAUAUCGACGAGGAGGUUUACGACCUCGAUGUUGGAUCAGGACAUCCUAGUGGUGCAGCCGCUACUAAG